rnacentral:lncRNA from 1 species
GACACAGGCACCGGCUUAGAGACCUCAGUCCCCCGGAGGAGGCUGGUCUGUGGGCAUCUUAGGACAUCCGUGAGAAGGCUCCAGAUGGAAAAUGCUGGAGGGCCCAGGUUUUCAGGAAGGCACCUCCUCACCUUUCAGUCCGGGAGAACAUGUUCCAGCAAAGCCAGGGAGAGAGGCUCGCCGGCCCAGGCCUCUCCAGCUUCUCUUAAAGGCGAAAAGAGAAGCUGAGGACCCCGCACGCUCCCCAGCGCAUGGAGCUGAAGCCACGACCCCAAGGAUCCCAUCCAAGAAACCCUAUCAUGUUCAGUCAUCAGGUCUCCUUGGGCUCCUCUCGGCUGUGAUGGUUUCUCAGACUUGCCUUGUUUUUGAUGACCUGGGCAGUUCUGAGGCGUGCUGGUCAGGUGUUUUGCAGAAUGUUCUUCAGCUGGCAUUUGUUUGCUGAUUUUCCUCAUGAUGAAACUAGGGUCACGGGUUUGGGGGAAGAAAACCACAGGGAUAAGGGGCCAUUCUCGUCACAUAUCAAGGGCACAUACUGUCACCAUGACUUCUCGUUGCUGACGCUGACACUGACCCCCUGGCUGAGGCCGUGUUGGUCACUGUCCAGUUCCUCCUUUGGCCCUUUCCACGCUGUCCUCUUUGGAAGGAAGCACAUACCUCUCUGCACAGCACACACGGAAGGGCUGGGGAGUGAGGCUCCGCUCCCUGGAGGCUGAGUGUCCACCUGAUUCGGGAUUCGUCUGCACAGUUCGUCUGUCCUCCCUCGUUUGUGUCCCUCUCCAGUCACCGCUUUCCAGCGCUAUGGACUCAGGGAUACUUCCUUGAGGCGCUGGGUUAUCAUCCACUACUACUUCAUUCUGUUGCUCAGGCCUUUCCAGAUGUGGCCACUGGAGGCGCUUUCCAUUGGCUCCUGCGUCCCUCUGAUCUAUCUCAUCGCUGUGCUUUUGUGGAGCGCAUCCUUCUGAUACGAAGACGCGCCAGACUCCAGCUGUAUAUUCCCUGUCCUCGUCCUGCAAUCAGUCAUUUCUCCCAGGAGCCCUGGUUUCUCUCAUGACACCACGGUGUUAAAAA